rnacentral:tRNA from 1 species
GAGGGUAUAGCUCAGAGGUAGAAUAAGUGCCUGGCAUGGACAGGGUCCUGGGUUCAAUCCCCAGUACUUCCA